UGGGGAAUUUUGGACAAUGGGGGAAACCCUGAUCCAGCCAUCCCGCGUGUGCGAUGAAGGCCUUCGGGUUGUAAAGCACUUUUGGCAGGAAAGAAACGUCAUGGGUUAAUACCCCGUGAAACUGACGGUACCUGCAGAAUAAGCACCGGCUAACUACGUGCCAGCAGCCGCGGUAAUACGUAGGGUGCAAGCGUUAAUCGGAAUUACUGGGCGUAAAGCGUGCGCAGGCGGUUCGGAAAGAAAGAUGUGAAAUCCCAGAGCUCAACUUUGGAACUGCAGUUUUAACUAGCGGGCUAGGGUGUGGCAGAGGGAGGUGGAAUUCCGGGUGUAGCAGUGAAAUGCGUAGAUAUGCGGAGGAACACCGAUGGCGAAGGCAGCCUCCUGGGAUAACACUGACGCUGAUGCACGAAAGCGUGGGGAGCAAACAGG
rnacentral:rRNA from 1 species